GACGAACGCUGGCGGCGUGCCUAAUACAUGCAAGUCGAACGCAGUGGGGACGGGUGAGUAACACGUGGGUCACCUCCCAUCAGAGGGGAUAACACUUGGAAACAGGUGCUAAACCGAUACUGAUGGAUGGACCCGCGGUGAAUUAGCUAGUUGGGGAGGUAACGGCUCACCAAGGCCACGAUGCAUAGACGACCUGAGAGGGUGAGCGGACACACUGGGACGGGGACAAGGCCGAGACGACUACGGGAGGCAGCAGUAGGGAAUCGUAGGCAAUGGACGAAAGUCUGACCGAGCAACGCCGCGUGAGUGAAGAAGGUUUUCGGAUCGUAAAGCUCUGUUGUUAAGGAAGCGGUACUGAACCAGAAAGGGACGGCUAACUACGUGCCAGCAGCCGCGGUAAUUC
rnacentral:rRNA from 1 species